CCAAACUUGGUCAUUUAGAGGAAGUAAAAGUCGUAACAAGGUCUCCGUUGGUGAACCAGCGGAGGGAUCAUUAGAGAGUAUAAAAACUCCCAACCCAUGUGAAUUUACCUACCGUUGCCUCGGCGGAGAGGGGGCUACCCGUAAAGGGCUACCCGGGUGUCGUUACCCGGGAGGUCUGGGUGACCCUCCCGCCGCCGCGGGCCCAUGAAACUCUGUUUUAUCUUGGAACUCUGAAUCAAAAAAACAAAUAAGUUAAAACUUUCAACAACGGAUCUCUUGGUUCUGGCAUCGAUGAAGAACGCAGC
rnacentral:misc_RNA from 1 species